UUUGAAAAGAAACAAAAAGGAUAUUGAAGGUUUGGUCGAUGAAUUUUGGGCUAACCUUUCAUAAUUAACGAGUUCAACCAAACCUAUUGUUUUGGAUCAGAUUAUGUAUGCAUAUAUACAAACCAUUUAAUAUGUCAUACUAAUUCUAAUUCUAACAACACGAAAGAUUUCAUUAGCUUCUAUUACAGAAUGGACCACUUUCGCUAACAAUACCUAAACCACUUCUUUCUGCGCCCAAACGGCAAACUCUGGGCAACAAAAGUCUACUUUAGUGCAAAAAAAGAGCAAACAGAGUAGUCGGCCUACAUCACACUCCUUGGGUGCGGCCCUUCUUCGGACCCUACAUAAAUGCUGGAUGCUUUGUGCACCGGGCUGCCCUUUAUAUAGACAAAAAUAUAAACCACUUAUCCUAAAAUAUAAACCCGUGUUUAGUACACGGAUUGUCAUGGGAACUGUUGAUAUGGAGAUACAAUUGCAGUUUUUUGUCAUUAGCAUCUGGUGGAAAGGUUGGAAAUUUUAAAACUGCUGCAUGGAAGUGGCAAUAACUACAACUUCGUCCAAAUACAACUAAAUAAGUAUCAAAGUUACCACAGUGGAAUCAACCAAAUUUCACCGGCUGUAGGCCACCUCGGUGCAGCAGUCAGCAAGCAAAAUGCUGCACAGCUGAAAUUGAGAGACAAAUUUAAAUCUACAUUCUUAGUUAACUUGUUUUCUCUAGACUCAAUUCCUUCGCUUGUGAAGAAGCUAAGCUAGUUCUUCUUACUCAAACAUUAUGUUCACCUGCCCUUGCUUCAGGAUUGAAAUUUUCACCAGAUCAAAAGAAGUGUCCUCCAGUUUGCUGCUGAGACACAAAUUUAAAAAUAUAUACUCAGUAGACUAGUUUCUGCAAGACUGCUCCAGCUCGCUGUUCAAAUUUAGGAAGUGCCCACUCAUGCUGAAUAAUAUCUAAGCCAUCCUUUUCUGCUCCCAAACUCUGUAUAACAAGAAAGAUACUUUAGUUACGAAAAAGCAAGAAAAUAUAGGAGAAGAUGUACUCUGUAAUAAAGACGAUUAAUUUGUUCUCCAAUAGAAAGCUUAAACUUUGUAGAAAGUGCCAUCGACUCACAGGUUGUGUGUAUAGAGAGGGAUGUAAAGAUGAUCUACUGUCAUUACUCUGAAUGGUCACUCACAAUAGAAUUAAGUUCAGAAAUAUCAGGAACCUCCAUAGGUCAAUGUAUAAAGUUCCUUUAAAAUAGCAACUCUAUCACAAGCAGCAUGGGGUUCAAUCUCUUCCCUCCACAGAGUGAAAGCAAAUGUCUAUGCAUUUCAGUCUUGUUCUUACCCUGUCCCUCUUUCUAAAGGUUGCUUAAGUACUGACCACUGAGUUUGGAAUUUAAGGAUCAAGAGAUUAAUAUAAAGUUUUUUCUUAAAAAGAGGGGGGGAGAGUCCAAGCUAAAGAAAAAAGAGAAUGGACUAAAUAUGCAUGUGUAUUCAAUGAUAGAAUUCCUGGCAAUUUGCAUUCAGAAGCCAUUCAUUUAUCUCACUUGGAUCCUUGACUGAAAUAUUCUCCACCCCUUCCUACAGCCAAACAACUAGGCUCACCUAUCAGCUUUACAGUUAUUUCAGAGAUAUAGCCAUACUAUGGCUUCUGAAAUUAAAAUAAGCGAAGAGAAAAAACAGCAUUCGAUUUAGACACCUGACAACAGCACUUAAAUGACCAAUCAACCAAAUGAAUGCACGUACUAAUGACCUUCUUAGGAACAAACAUGUGUAGACUUCAUGCGCAAUUAUUCACUCUGGACAGCAAAAAUUCAACACUGAUACAUGUUGAAAUCGUAGGAGAUUCAGUUGACAAUCAAGACUAAGUAAUCCAGAUUCAUUCCCACGUUUGUUUUUUUCCUUUUUUUUUUCGUGGGGGUGGGGGAGGUGGGGGUAUGGAGAAGAUACACUCCCAGCUCAUAUAAACACUCUUU
rnacentral:lncRNA from 1 species